UUUUUUUUUUUUUUUUUAAUACUUGCCUUUUGCUGUAGUCUAGUUUAUAUGAUCAUCCACCUAAAUGACCUUUGAAACUGAGUUUUCAGUUUCAACUGGGUAACUGAAUCUCUUGCUAUGUUCUGAUUACUAAAUAAUCUAGCAGGCAUGUGCAGUCUGCACUCUUCCCUUUCUUUUCCCUUUUGUUUGGUUUAACUGAAGUUACUCUUUGCAAGAAAAUGCAUUUUGUUUGUAAGAAAAGAGUUUUGUGGUAACUCUUUAUUGUUGUAAUUUGCUAAUGGCAUUUCUUUAAAGAAAAUGGUGGGUAUUUUUAAGAGAGGAAAGUAAGGUUUUAACUCGUAAUUGCCUCCACCACAGGGCAAGCUUCCAUCCAACCAGUAAGCUAUUGCUCUAGUAUCAAUUUUGUGAAUUUGUUAAUUUAGUUCCCUUUAUCUGAUUACUCGGAGAAAAACUUUUUCAGCUUUAUUUUGGGAAUAUUUGAAUUAAAUAACAGUUGAGGUUGAUCUGUCACCAGUCACCAUAAUUUCAUGAUAGUUUUAUUUACCACAUUGGAUUUCUCUCUCAGCGGUACAGUGGCUUUUAUCUUUUCAGUAUGCGUGGAAAUGUAUACACAAGUUUACAUAGCCUUCAUUGGGCAUUUUUAAAUUUAUCAUUGAAUGAUGGAUGCAAUUAUUUUUUGUUCAUAGAUGAUGAAAUCUGAUGGGGGAUUUGGUGUCAGUGCUGAAUAAACAUCUUCAGAUCCGCUCGAGAUCAAAUUCUUGAAUGCUUGUGUUCCUGGCAGGGGAGACCAAGGCAGAGUGAAGUAACAAAAACCAUACAUAUUUUUGGCUCCCAACAAAGAAAUUAUCAAUGAAUGUUCAUGUUUAUAGAUAAUAGAGAUUAUGCUUUUGUGUAUAGAUACGUUUGUAUUCUGAAAUUCAUGCAAGAAGAUGCAUUACAUUGACAUAAGCUGAUAGUUGGGAAUUUUACCUAUCUCAAGCUCCAUGAAAUCUGAGCAUUAAUUUAUUUUUAA
rnacentral:misc_RNA from 1 species